GGUGCUGCCACGAGGUAAGCGUCAAAUAAAUCGGAGGACCGGGAUGGACGAAUCCCUGGUGUACCAGUUGUCUCGCCAGAGGCACAGCUGGGUAGCUAUAUUCGGAGCGGAUAAGCGCUGAAAGCAUCUAAGCGCGAAAUCGACCUCAAGAUGAAUCCACAUC
rnacentral:ncRNA from 1 species